GCUGGUUGAUAGGCACGGUGUGGAAGCGCUGCAAGGCGUUGAGCUAACGUGUACUAAUGGCCCGUGAGGCUUGACCCUAUAACACCCAAGGGGU
rnacentral:rRNA from 1 species